CGCCUCUUAGUGCUUACAUUGUGUUCUUACAUUGACUAUAUAGAUAAGGAGGAGGAAAAGUAAACCUACCUAAACCCAGGCCCUUGUCUGGUCUGUAUUGUGAAUAGGAAGACAUGG
rnacentral:snoRNA from 1 species